AGUUUUCAGAGUCUUACCACAGGAGGGCAGGACUUCCUUGAGUACUGGACAAACUGAGACACAGUCUGCAUGCACAUUGAUAAUUCUGCAGGUAAUGCUGGAUCCGAUCUGCUGAGUCCUCGAAGUGGAAAAUCUCAAAGCCGGGCUUCCCUUUAUCAGCCCUUCCUUCUGAGGAAGAAAGAGAACUUCCUUCAAAACAGGUGCAGACUGUUGAUGGGGGGCUUGUGCUGGAGAGACAGACUCUGACACACUUCUGAUCUAAGGAGGAUGCCUGCCGUUUGAGUCACAGCUGUAACCAGCAAAAUCCCUCCAGACAUGCAUGGCCAUCCUAACCGUCCAAAUGCAUCCAACACCUCCUUCCUUCUCUAUGGCCCAGAGACCCAGAUGCCAUGAAACUAUGGUUGGCUAAUUAAACAGCCAAAUAUACUCAUCCAUUAUCAGCAUACCUCAGGGGUUCACUGUGACACGCUGUACAUAUACGUGAGAGUGAGUGAUAGUGGGGGUGGGGUUUACCUCAUGGGUUUUAGGGAAGCCUUGGGGGCCUUUUGUCAAGAAAAGGCCCAUGGCAGUGUGAGAGCUAUGCUCCUAUGAGGGCACAUGUGUGCGGUUGUUUUGUUCUGUUGCCAACGCAGCAGAAAUCAGCUCUUGCAACACUACCAUUAUCAAAGUCAUCAAAUAAUGUUGCAGAUAUGACUUUCUUUGGCAGAACACAAGAGAAGUUCCUCCAAUGUUAUUUUGGACCCCAUUUACUUUCAUUGUGUAUGUGUUUUUUUUUUUAGGGUUUUCCA